AAAUUGAAGAGUUUGAUCAUGGCUCAGAUUGAACGCUGGCGGCAGGCCUAACACAUGCAAGUCGAACGGUAACAGGAAGCAGCUUGCUGCUUCGCUGACGAGUGGCGGACGGGUGAGUAAUAUCUGGGAAACUGCCUGAUGGAGGGGGAUAACUACUGGAAACGGUAGCUAAUACCGCAUAAUGUCGCAAGACCAAAGAGGGGGACCUUCGGGCCUCUUGCCAUCGGAUGUGCCCAGAUGGGAUUAGCUUGUUGGUGGGGUAACGGCUCACCAAGGCGACGAUCCCUAGCUGGUCUGAGAGGAUGACCAGCCACACUGGAACUGAGACACGGUCCAGACUCCUACGGGAGGCAGCAGUGGGGAAUAUUGCACAAUGGGCGCAAGCCUGAUGCAGCCAUGC
rnacentral:rRNA from 1 species